AAGAUGGGGGGAAGGAACCAACCAGGGUAUUGCCCCUAGUAACGGCGAGUGAAGCGGCAACAGCUCAAAUUUGAAAUCUGGCCCUUUUAGGGUCCGAGUUGUAAUUUGCAGAGGGCGCUUUGGCAUUGGCAGCGGUCCAAGUUCCUUGGAACAGGACGUCACAGAGGGUGAGAAUCCCGUACGUGGUCGCUAGCCUUUGCUGUGUAAAGCCCCUUCGACGAGUCGAGUUGUUUGGGAAUGCAGCUCUAAAUGGGAGGUAAAUUUCUUCUAAAGCUAAAUAUUGGCCAGAGACCGAUAGCGCACAAGUAGAGUGAUCGAAAGAUGAAAAGCACUUUGGAAAGAGAGUCAAAUAGCACGUGAAAUUGUUGAAAGGGAAGCGCUUGCAGCCAGACUUGCCUGUAGUUGCUUAUCUGGGCUUUUGCCUAGUGCACUCUUCUGCGGGCAGGCCAGCAUCAGUUUGGGCGGUUGGAUAAAGGUCUCUGUCAUGUACCUCCUUUCGGGGAGGACUUAUAGGGGAGGCGACAUGCAACCAGCCUGGACUGAGGUCCGCGCAUCUGCUAGGAUGCUGGCGUAAUGGCUGUAAGCGGCCCGUCUUGAAACACGGACCAAGGAGUCUAACAUCUAUGCGAGUGUUUGGGUGGAAAUU
rnacentral:rRNA from 1 species